rnacentral:rRNA from 1 species
UACGGGGGGGGUAAGCGUUGUUCGGAAUUACUGGGCGUAAAGGGCUCGUAGGCGGCCAACUAAGUCAUACGUGAAAUCCCUCAGCUUAACUGGGGAACUGCGUGUGAUACUGGAUGGCUUGGAUUUGGGAGAGGGAUGCGGAAUUCCAGGUGUAGCGGUGAAAUGCGUAGAUAUCUGGAGGAACACCGGUGGCGAAGGCGCAUCCUGGACCAAUAUUGACGCUGAGGAGCGAAAGCUAGGGGAGCAAACGGG